rnacentral:rRNA from 1 species
CAGUAGCCACGGUAAUACGGAGGGUGCAAGCGUUAAUCGGAAUUACUGGGCGUAAAGCGCACGCAGGCGGUCUGACAAGUCAGAUGUGAAAUCCCCGGGCUUAACCUGGGAACUGCAUUUGAAACUGUCAGGCUGGAGUCUUGUAGAGGGGGGUGGAAUUCCAGGUGUAGCGGUGAAAUGCGUAGAGAUCUGGAGGAAUACCGGUGGCGAAGGCGGCCCCCUGGACAAAGACUGACGCUCAGGUGCGAAAGCGUGGGGAGCAAACAGGAUUAGAUACCCGCGUAGUCCCUGUCUCUUAACC